GCGGGCGUGGUGGAAUUGGCAGACACGCCAGAUUUAGGUUCUGGUGUCGAGAGACGUGGGGGUUCAAGUCCCUCCGCCCGUACCA
rnacentral:tRNA from 1 species